GUUUCCGUAGUGUAGUGGUCAUCACGUGUCCUACACGCAAAAGGUCCCCAGUUCGAAACUGGGCGGAAACA
rnacentral:tRNA from 1 species